rnacentral:rRNA from 1 species
AGCGAACGCUGGCGGCGUGCCUAACACAUGCAAGUCGCACGAGAAAGGGGUCGCAAGACCCCCUGUACAGUGGCGAACGGGUGAGUAACACGUGGGUAACCUACCCCCGGGUCGGGAAUAACCUGCCGAAAGGCGGGCUAAUACCGGAUAACGACGCGAGGCCCUCGGGCCUCGCGACCAAAGCCGACCUCUUCAUGAAAGUUGGCGCUUGGGGAGGGGCCCGCGUCCCAUUAGCUAGUUGGUGAGGUAACGGCUCACCAAGGCUCCGAUGGGUAGCCGGCCUGAGAGGGCGACCGGCCACAGUGGAACUGAGACACGGUCCACACUCCUACGGGAAGCAGCAGUGAGGAAUAUUGCGCAAUGGGCGAAAGCCUGACGCAGCGACGCCGCGUGGACGAUGAAGGCCUUCGGGUCGUAAAGUCCUGUCAGGUGGGAAGAAACGUCCGGGGCUAAUAUCCCCGGAAAUUGACUGUACCACCAGAGGAAGCCCCGGCUAACUCCGUG